rnacentral:rRNA from 1 species
ACAGCAGUCGCCGCGGGAAUACGUAGGGUGCAAGCGUUAAUCGGAAUUACUGGGCGUAAAGCGUACGCAGGCGGUUAUAUAAGUCAGAUGUGAAAUCCCCGGGCUCAACCUGGGAACUGCAUUUGAGACUGUAUGGCUAGAGUGUGUCAGAGGGGGGUAGAAUUCCACGUGUAGCAGUGAAAUGCGUAGAUAUGUGGAGGAAUACCGGUGGCGAAGGCAGCCCCCUGGGAUAACACUGACGCUCAUGCACGAAAGCGUGGGGAGCAAACAGGAUUAGAUACCCGUGUAGUCCCUGUCUCUUAUAC